CCUACGGGGGGCUGCAGUGGGGAAUAUUGGACAAUGGGGGCAACCCUGAUCCAGCCAUGCCGCGUGUGUGAAGAAGGCCCUCGGGUUGUAAAGCACUUUCAGUGAGGAAGAACGCCUGGUGGUUAAUACCCAUCAGGAAAGACAUCACUCACAGAAGAAGCACCGGCUAACUCCGUGCCAGCAGCCGCGGUAAUACGGAGGGUGCGAGCGUUAAUCGGAAUUACUGGGCGUAAAGCGCGCGUAGGUGGCUUGAUAAGCCGGUUGGGAAAGCCCCGGGCUCAACCUGGGAACGGCAUCCGGAACUGUCAAGCUAGAGUGCAGGAGAGGAAGGUAGAAUUCCCGGUGUAGCGGUGAAAUGCGUAGAGAUCGGGAGGAAUACCAGUGGCGAAGGCGGCCUUCUGGACUGACACUGACACUGAGGUGCGAAAGCGUGGGUAGCAAACAGGAUUAGAUACCCUGGUAGUC
rnacentral:rRNA from 1 species